AGUGAACGCUGGCGGUAGGCCUAACACAUGCAAGUCGAACGGCAGCACAGUAAGAGCUUGCUCUUACGGGUGGCGAGUGGCGGACGGGUGAGGAAUACAUCGGAAUCUACUUUUUCGUGGGGGAUAACGUAGGGAAACUUACGCUAAUACCGCAUACGACCUACGGGUGAAAGCAGGGGAUCUUCGGACCUUGCGCGAUUGAAUGAGCCGAUGUCGGAUUAGCUAGUUGGCGGGGUAAAGGCCCACCAAGGCGACGAUCCGUAGCUGGUCUGAGAGGAUGAUCAGCCACACUGGAACUGAGGCACGGCCCAGACUCCGACGGGAGGCAGCAGUGGGGAAUAUUGGACAAUGGGCGCAAGCCUGAUCCAGCCAUACCGCGUGGGUGAAGAAGGCCUUCGGGUUGUAAAGCCCUUUUGUUGGGAAAGAAAAGCAGCAGGUUAAUACCCCGCUGUUCUGACGGUACCCAAAGAAUAAGCACCGGCUAACUUCGUG
rnacentral:rRNA from 1 species